rnacentral:tRNA from 1 species
GGAGAUAUAGUUUAAAGGCUAGAACGAUAGAUUGUCGAUCUAUUGGUCGGGGUUCGAUUCCCCGUAUCUCCGCCA